rnacentral:tRNA from 2 species
GCACCAAUAGCUCAGUGGUAGAGCGGCCGACUGCAAAAGUCUCCUCUUCCAGGAGGAACUUAGCGAGAUCGUCAGGUCGCCGGUUCGAUCCCGGCUUGGGGCU